GGGUGUGAUUGCUGCCAUGAGAGAUGGUUUUGGCUUCAUCAAGUGUGUGGACCGUGAUGCUCGUAUGUUCUUCCACUUCAGUGAGAUUCUCGAUGGGAACCAGCUCCACAUUGCAGAUGAAGUGGAGUUUACUGUGGUCCCUGAUAUGCUCUCUGCCCAAAGAAAUCAUGCUAUUAGGAUUAAAAAACUUCCCAAGGGCACGGUUUCAUUCCAUUCCCAUUCAGAUCAUCGUUUUCUGGGCACCGUAGAAAAAGAAGCCACUUUUUCUAAUCCUAAAACUACAAGCCCAAAUAAAGGCAAAGACAAGGUUGAAUUUAGUAUUAGUGACAAACAGAGGCCUGGACAGCAGAUUGCAACUUGUGUGAGACUUUUAGGUCGUAAUUCUAAU
rnacentral:lncRNA from 1 species